GUCUGAUUAGCUUGUUGGCGGGGUAACGGCCCACCAAGGCACGAUCAGUAGGGGUUCUGAGAGGAAGGUCCCCCACAUUGGAACUGAGACACGGUCCAAACUCCUACGGGAGGCAGCAGUGAGGAAUAUUGGUCAAUGGGCGAGAGCCUGAACCAGCCAAGUAGCGUGCAGGAUGACGGCCCUAUGGGUUGUAAACUGCUUUUAUAAGGGAAUAAAGUGAGCCUCGUGAGGCUUUUUGCAUGUACCUUAUGAAUAAGGACCGGCUAAUUCCGUGCCAGCAGCCGCGGUAAUACGGAAGGUCCGGGCGUUAUCCGGAUUUAUUGGGUUUAAAGGGAGCGUAGGCCGGAGAUUAAGCGUGUUGUGAAAUGUAGAUGCUCAACAUCUGCACUGCAGCGCGAACUGGUUUCCUUGAGUACGCACAAAGUGGGCGGAAUUCGUGGUGUAGCGGUGAAAUGCUUAGAUAUCACGAAGAACUCCGAUUGCGAAGGCAGCUCACUGGAGCGCAACUGACGCUGAAGCUCGAAAGUGCGGGUAUCGAACAGGAUUAGAUACCCUGGUAGUCCGCACGGUAAACGAUGGAUGCCCGCUGUUGGUCUGAAUAGGUCAGCGGCCAAGCGAAAGCAUUAAGCAUCCCACCUGGGGAGUAC
rnacentral:rRNA from 1 species